rnacentral:sRNA from 1 species
UUGAAAUUAAUAUCCCAUUAAUAUUUAAUUACUGUGGGGUUAACUUUAUUAACAGGUUUUAGUUCAGGGUUUGUUUUACUAAAAACAUAGUUUAGGGUUUAAAAAUGGAUCUACCAAAGUUGAGGGUUUUUUUCAUUAAAUUCCCAUUAAUCUAUUACUACCUUA